rnacentral:rRNA from 1 species
UCCUUUUAUCAGAGAAGAAGAUGACGGUAUCUGAUGAAUAAGCUCCGGCUAACUCCGUGCCAGCAGCCGCGGUAAUACGGAGGGAGCAAGCGUUAUUCGGAAUCACUGGGCGUAAAGGACGCGUAGGCGGGUUUGUAAGUCAGGUGUGAAAUCCUACAGCUCAACUGUAGAACGGCACUUGAAACUACAGACCUAGAGUAUGGAAGGGGCAGAUGGAAUUAGUGGUGUAGGGGUAAAAUCCGUAGAUAUCACUAGGAAUACCGAAAGCGAAGGCGAUCUGCUGGGACAUUACUGACGCUGAGGCGUGAAAGCGUGGGGAGCAAACAGGAUUAGAUACCCUGGUAGUCCACGCCCUAAACGAUGAACACUAGUCGUCGGGGUACAAGUUACUUCGGUGAUGCACUUAACAGAUUAAGUGUUCCGCCUGGGGAGUACGGUCGCAAGAUUAAAACUCAAAGGAAUAGACGGGGACCCGCACAAGUGGUGGAGCAUGUGGUUUAAUUCGAAGAUACGCGAAGAACCUUACCUAGCCUUGACAUAUAUUAGAACUCCGCAGAGAUGCAGAGGUGCCUUCGGGAGCUUUUAUACAGGUGCUGCACGGCUGUCGUCAGCUCGUGUCGUGAGAUGUUGGGUUAAGUCCCGCAACGAGCGCAACCCUCGUCACUAGUUACUAACGGUUCGGCCGAGGACUCUAGUGAGACUGCCUUCGUAAGGAGGAGGAAGGUGAGGACGACGUCAAGUCAUCAUGGCUCUUACGGCUAGGGCAACACACGUGCUACAAUGGUCAGGACAAUGAGAUGCAAUACCGCGAGGUGGAGCAAAUCUAUAAACCUGGUCUCAGUUCGGAUUGUAGUCUGCAACUCGACUACAUGAAGCUGGAAUCACUAGUAAUCGUAGAUCAGCUAUGCUACGGUGAAUACGUUCCCGGGUCUUGCACACACCGCCCGUC